UCUUUAACAGUUGGUAUGGUGGGGCAUUCACUCACUAGAUGUUCACUGGAUUGACAUAUAGAGCAUUGAACAAUUUGCACUAGAACAUUAUUAGCCACUUUGAUUUCAUGAGCUCCUCUAGCUUCAAGUUCUUCCAAUCUCCUUGAUAGAGAUGACAUUUUUGCUUAUAUGUCUACAUCCUCAUUCAAAGUGUACAUUCCCCCUUUAGAAUUGUUUUAGGACUUUGC
rnacentral:lncRNA from 1 species